GGCCUAACACAUGCAAGUCGAGGGGUAUGCUUCUUCGGAAGCAGAGACCGGCGCACGGGUGCGGAACACGUGUGCAACCUACCUUUAUCAGGGGGAUAGCCUUUCGAAAGGAAGAUUAAUACCCCAUAAUAUAUUGAAUGGCAUCAUUCGAUAUUGAAAACUCCGGUGGAUAGAGAUGGGCACGCGCAAGAUUAGAUAGUUGGUGAGGUAACGGCUCACCAAGUCAAUGAUCUUUAGGGGGCCUGAGAGGGUGAUCCCCCACACUGGUACUGAGACACGGACCAGACUCCUACGGGAGGCAGCAGUGAGGAAUAUUGGACAAUGGGUGAGAGCCUGAUCCAGCCAUCCCGCGUGAAGGACGACGGCCCUAUGGGUUGUAAACUUCUUUUGUAUAGGGAUAAACCUUUCCACGUGUGGAAAGCUGAAGGUACUAUACGAAUAAGCACCGGC
rnacentral:rRNA from 1 species